GACGAACGCUGGCGGCGUGCUUAACACAUGCAAGUCGAGCGGUAAGGCCCUUUCGGGGGUACACGAGCGGCGAACGGGUGAGUAACACGUGGGUGACCUGCCCUCAGCUCUGGGAUAAGCCUGGGAAACCGGGUCUAAUAACUGGAUAUGACUCCAUGACGCAUGUUGUGGGGUGGAAAGCCUUGUGCGGCUGAGGAUGGGCCCGCGGCCUAUCAGCUUGUUGGUGGGGUGAUGGCCUACCAAGGCGACGACGGGUAGCCGGCCUGAGAGGGCGACCGGCCACACUGGGACUGAGACACGGCCCAGAC
rnacentral:rRNA from 1 species